GGCAGCAGUCGGGAAUCUUGCACAAUGGGCGAAAGCCUGAUGCAGCAACGCCGCGUGAGGGAUGAAGGCCCUCGGGUCGUAAACCUCUGUCGGAAGGGAAGAAAGUAUUCCGGGCCAAUACCCCGGAGUAUCGACGGUACCUUCAAAGGAAGCGCCGGCUAACUCCGUGCCAGCAGCAGCGGUAAUACGGAGGGCGCGAGCGUUAUUCGGAAUUAUUGGGCGUAAAGCGCGUGUAGGCGGCUGGGCAAGUCGGAUGUGAAAGCCCGGGGCUCAACCCCGGAAUUGCAUUCGAAACUGCCCAGCUAGAGUCUCGGAGAGGAGGGCGGAAUUCCCGGUGUAGAGGUGAAAUUCGUAGAUAUCGGGAGGAACACCAGUGGCGAAGGCGGCCCUCUGGACGAUGACUGACGCUGAGACGCGAAAGCGUGGGGAGCAAACAGGAUUGGAUACCCUGGUAGUCCACGCCGUAAACGUUGGGUGCUAGGUGUCGCGGGUAUUGACCCCUGCGGUGCCGUCGUUAACGCAUUUAGCACCCCGCCUGGGGAGUACGGUCGCAAGACUAAAACUCAAAGGAAUUGACGG
rnacentral:rRNA from 1 species